rnacentral:rRNA from 1 species
GGGUGCGACCAUACCAGCACUAACGCACCGGAUCCCAUCAGAACUCCGAAGUUAAGCGUGCUUGGGCGAGAGUUGUACUAGGAUGGUGACC